CUUAAAUUCCUGUAAUUAUGCUGCCAGGUCCCGUCUGUAAAAUAUUUCUUUGUCGAUGUCUUAUAUUUUUAGCAUAAACAGCGAUGCGAAAGUUGUCGAAGCAUUGCGAGCGCCCUCUUGUGUUUUCCGUUGAAUAGAGCAUACAGAGUUGCGUAACAAUUUGCAUAUGACAUGCAGUGCGAAAAAGCCUUUUAUUCCGUGCAGUGUCUCAAAAGCAUAGGGCUUCGGACGCACAUUCCGUGAAUUUUUCGCUAGUUUUCUUGGAGAGUAAGCAAGCAUGGGUAGGUCACUUGACUGCUUGUCUUUGCUGCUGCCAGCCACACCUUAUUGCGAGCCAGCUUGUCUAUAUUUUGCUGUGUUUCUCACGUGGUUUUGCCAUGGUUAGCACGCCGCAUGUGCAUACACAUAUCAUGUACAUGCAUAUCGUGUAGUUUGCCCAAACAUCCCGAGGCAUAGGUACACAGGCCGCAACUGCUCCGGUAAGUGUUUCAACUUCGUAAUUUUUGAUGUUAUCUUAAAUAGCACUUUACGACACAUUUUUAUGCCAUGAAUACUCGAGGUUGGAAGCCAAGUCUGUAUGAAACAUUUUUAUGCCAUAAAAUAAAUCUCCCAGGUUUAAAGCCAAGUCUGUAUGAAGAUUGUUGUGCAUAAGAUGACUUGAAUUUUCGAUACCGAAUUUCCUUGUAAUAUUGACUGUAUACUUGCACAUACUUCGAUCCUAAAUAUGUUGAAUUAUAGGGUCAAUGCACUUUAUUGAACUCAAAUUUGGAUAGCGUGGAUGGAAAGAGAACUUAGAGAAUGUUUUAGCCUGAAAUAAAACCAUGAGACAUAUAGAUGGAUGUACGAAUACAGAAUAUUGAAUACUCUUUUUAUGAGCCUUACUGUUUAAACAAACAAAUGUUAAGAAAUAGAUGUACUGUAUAAAAUGCAUUGGAAAUUCAUCAAUAUAGAAUAACUACGGAUGUGUACACAUGUACUGUGGAGAUGAAACUUUUUGAUGGCACUGAUGAUUAUUUAAUAUUCCUUCAUCGAAACAUUUAUUAGUAUUUAUGAGAUUACUUAAUAUGUACAGUAAUUUUAUUACAGCUACUGCUUGUGGUUCUGUGGUUCCUGAGUGGUCACAAAUAGAGAAGCCUUCUCGAGUAGACCAGUGUAUCCCUUAUCCAGCAUCCAUAAUAUUUGGACUGCUGAAGAAUGACUGUCGUUUUUUUGUAAUAAAAUUUUGAUCAAUUUAUAGUGGAAUAUAUACCCAGUGUCACUUUCAAAUUUUUCUGCGUAACCUUUCCAGCUCGGUUACAAAAAUGGCGUAGUCGGCAGGAUGUCAUAAAAGACAUCCUUAUUUGUGACACAUUUGAUCAAAUAUAAACGACAGUCAUUAUUAUUACCAUCAUCAUCAUCAUCAUCAUUAUCUUCGAUGACAACCUUCUUGAGAGAAGCGUCUUUCAUCAGAAGGGUGGUUUGCUGCAGCAGUGCGUUUACAUCAUCUAGUCUCCGGACAGACAGCUGCCCAGAUGUUCGUCUGAAGUGAGAGUAUUUUCCAUGUAGCUACACACAUCUUCUGGGAGAGCCUUCUUAGCUUCACAUAUCUUCCCCACAGUUCGGCACCCAGUCGUUGAGACAGCUUGGAGAGACAUUCUUCACCAUCACCGGUUUUUCAGCCGAGCGGCCGUGGAGUGUGCUGCUAGUAUUCAGCUACGGAACUCUUUCACUGAUGGUGAACUGUAAACAUAUUCACUGGGAACAGUGUCGUGCAGUCAAGAUUUUUAACAUUUUAAUAUUGCAUAUUCAUUUGUAUUUUAACUUGUAGCCAUUGAGCAUGUCGUUUUGACAAUGGAAGUUUUGCAUGUUAGAAACAGCUUUAUCACAUACAUAGAACAGAUUGAUUGUUUGAUUGGUCCGAUUGAAGAUCAGCUAUUUUCGUAAAAUCAAGUUUGCCUUGGAGUCGACGUUAUAGAUAUUUCACAUUUGAGUAUAUACUCGUAUAUUGUGUGAAUAUUUUAGUAACACCGUGGUAGUUUAUUUCUUUUUAUAUCUGCAGGUUUAAGCUUUCCAGGGACAGUUCUGGCUUCUGUACCUCAUGCUCUGCUCCCUGCCCUGCUAUCUUCAAUGCAGUUACUACCCGCUUGUUGCUCAGUCUCUCGUAUCCACGAACCGCUGUAGCAUAUCGUAUCUGUUUCUUUACCGACGCUGCGUAGAAUGCGUGUUAAGGUGAUGCAUGCUAAUUGCUUGCUCAUGCUGCCUGUACUUGUAUUUGUCCGUGUAUUGAUUUUUUUCACAUUACUAGUUGUAGUCUCUGGUUGAAACAUAUUGAAUUCAUAGUCGCAGAAAGUAGAGUAUUUGCUCUAGAUUUGAGACUUUUGGAGGAAUGACACCUGUACAUUUAAAACCCAGGAUAGAUCUAAUGCAGACCCUGUAUGUCAUUCUUAAACUGUACAGUCCUUUUAUCCGUAUUGAUAGUAGCCAGUAUUUGGUAAAUUUUAUUCUCUUCAUGUCCUAAUUUCGUUUUAACCACUAUAUUUUUGGGAUUAGCUAACCCAACGUGGAUAAAUAAACAUGUUUAGGUUGGGAAUGAAAGAGGCCCUGUAAGUAUAUGUUGAGGAUUUUCUUUUUAAAAUACAUGUAGGUGUUAGCCAGAUGCUUGGAUUUUUUUAUAGUGAAGGAUAGUGUAGUAUAUGAUCAUCUUGAGAAAUUAGGUUUCUUGGACAAAUUGAGAUAAAUGUAAUCUCUAUUUCUCCAGCGACAUGCUAGAGAUGGACCAUAUUUUUACCAUUUUCUCUAUCCCAUCAUUCCACACUAUCUUGCCAUUUUAAUUAAUACUGAUAUUAUGGAUGUUUUUUAGGGAAUGUUUUAUUUUGAGAAACAGAUUGCCAGAUUUUCAUUUAGUUAGGGCUUUCGUAUGUCUGAUCAUUGGCCAAAUUGGGAGUUUUAGAUUUAAGGUCCAUUGAGGUCAUCUCAUUUCACUAGUCAUAUACUAGUGGUGGACAUUCUUUUAUCGUGCUCUCGACCAUGUGUACAUAUUAUCAUAGUCCAACUUCAUUCUGAAGAACUGGUGGAGGAUUUUUUUAAAGUAAACAUUUCCUGUCCACUGUCUCACUCAGUCUAGAGCUGCCAAGAUAUAUUUUUUGUCUUUUGAGAAUAUUUUUCAUUACACAAUUUUUAAUCCCGGAUGAUUAUGACCAGCCAGACUUAAAUUCCUGUAAUUAUGCUGCCAGGUCCCGUCUGUAAAAUAUUUCUUUGUCGAUGUCUUAUAUUUUUAGCAUAAACAGCGAUGCGAAAGUUGUCGAAGCAUUGCGAGCGCCCUCUUGUGUUUUCCGUUGAAUAGAGCAUACAGAGUUGCGUAACAAUUUGCAUAUGACAUGCAGUGCGAAAAAGCCUUUUAUUCCGUGCAGUGUCUCAAAAGCAUAGGGCUUCGGACGCACAUUCCGUGAAUUUUUCGCUAGUUUUCUUGGAGAGUAAGCAAGCAUGGGUAGGUCACUUGACUGCUUGUCUUUGCUGCUGCCAGCCACACCUUAUUGCGAGCCAGCUUGUCUAUAUUUUGCUGUGUUUCUCACGUGGUUUUGCCAUGGUUAGCACGCCGCAUGUGCAUACACAUAUCAUGUACAUGCAUAUCGUGUAGUUUGCCCAAACAUCCCGAGGCAUAGGUACACAGGCCGCAACUGCUCCGGUAAGUGUUUCAACUUCGUAAUUUUUGAUGUUAUCUUAAAUAGCACUUUACGACACAUUUUUAUGCCAUGAAUACUCGAGGUUGGAAGCCAAGUCUGUAUGAAACAUUUUUAUGCCAUAAAAUAAAUCUCCCAGGUUUAAAGCCAAGUCUGUAUGAAGAUUGUUGUGCAUAAGAUGACUUGAAUUUUCGAUACCGAAUUUCCUUGUAAUAUUGACUGUAUACUUGCACAUACUUCGAUCCUAAAUAUGUUGAAUUAUAGGGUCAAUGCACUUUAUUGAACUCAAAUUUGGAUAGCGUGGAUGGAAAGAGAACUUAGAGAAUGUUUUAGCCUGAAAUAAAACCAUGAGACAUAUAGAUGGAUGUACGAAUACAGAAUAUUGAAUACUCUUUUUAUGAGCCUUACUGUUUAAACAAACAAAUGUUAAGAAAUAGAUGUACUGUAUAAAAUGCAUUGGAAAUUCAUCAAUAUAGAAUAACUACGGAUGUGUACACAUGUACUGUGGAGAUGAAACUUUUUGAUGGCACUGAUGAUUAUUUAAUAUUCCUUCAUCGAAACAUUUAUUAGUAUUUAUGAGAUUACUUAAUAUGUACAGUAAUUUUAUUACAGCUACUGCUUGUGGUUCUGUGGUUCCUGAGUGGUCACAAAUAGAGAAGCCUUCUCGAGUAGACCAGUGUAUCCCUUAUCCAGCAUCCAUAAUAUUUGGGUACGUGUGUAAAACAUUAUUGCUUGAAAUGUGCCUAAGAAAUUGGAGAUUUAGAGAUUAAUGUGUUGUAAAAUUAUUGCAUAGCAAGUGCUUAUGGAGAAUAUUUCUCCUUGAUUAAAUUUUUAUGCCUUUAAUAUUUUUAUGCCUCUCUAAGAAAUGUACUUGUAAAUUCGCAGCAAAAACAUUUCUAUGGAACAAAUCAAUGGAAAUUGAGG